rnacentral:lncRNA from 1 species
ACUCUUAAAAGACUGCUCAAAACUCAUAAAUUCUAUCCAAUACUAGAAUUAACAGACUUCACUCCAACCAAUCUGGAUUCACAGAAUUUCUAUAAUCACAGACUUCCUCUGUCAAAACACACACACAACUCUCAAUAAACAAAAAUCAUAAUCUUCCAUUCAUAAUCAAUCUCCCAAUAACUUCUUAUAUAAUUCAAUCACUCAGUAUUCUAAUUACAUAAUCAAUAACUCAUAAAUCAAUCUCUGAUUUAUUCCACAGACUCACUUUUCAGUAUUCAAAAACUA